rnacentral:rRNA from 1 species
GAUGAACGCUAGCGGCAGGCUUAAUACAUGCAAGUCGAGGGGCAGCGCGGGUAGCAAUACCUGGCGGCGACCGGCAAACGGGUGCGGAACACGUACGCAACCUUCCUUCAAGUGGGGAAUAGCCCAGGGAAACUUGGAUUAAUACCCCUUAAUAUUAUUGGGUGGCAUCACUUGAUAAUUAAAGCUCCGGCGCUUGAAGA